CGUGACGACAACGCGCCGCGCUUCACGCAGGCGGCGUACAGCAUGUCGGUGAGCGAGAACGACGCGGGCGCGGUGCGGCUGGGCAGCGUGAAGGCGACGGACUCGGACGCGGGCGCGAACGGGGCGCGUGAGGUACGCGCUGGUGCGGGAGGAGGGCUCGGAGGCGGCCGCCGUGUCGGUGGACGCCGAGAGCGGGGCCGUGUCGGUGGUGCGUCCGCUGGACUACGAGCAGGUGCGCGCCGUGGAGGUGACGGUGGUCGCGGCCGACGGGGGGCUCUCCGUCGCGGAGCGCCACGGCGCUGCUGCGGGUGCUGGUGCGGGACGAGAACGACAACGCGCCCGUGGUGCUGCACCCGCCGUCCGACGGCGGCGCGGCGCUGGGCGAGCUGGUGCCGCGGCGGGCGCCGCGGGCUACCUGGUGGCCAAGGUGGUGGCGGUGGACGCGGACGCGGGGCAGAACGCGUGGCUGUCCUACGAGCUGGCCAAGGCGACGGAGCCGGGGCUGUUCCGCGUGGGGCUGCACAGCGGCGAGGUGCGCACGGCGCGCGCCGUGGGCGAGCGCGACGCGGCCCGGCACCGGCUGGUGGUGCUGGUGCGGGACCCGCGGGCGGCCGCCGCGCUCCGCCAGCGCCACCCCUGGCCGUGGCCCCUGGCCGACGGCUUCUCCGAAGAGCACCUAAGGGCCGGCCAAGAGGCGCCGGCCGCCGAGCCCGACGCCCGCCUCACCCUCUACCUCAGCGUCUGCUUGGCCUGCGUGUCCGCGCUCUUCGUGGCCAGCGCCACGGCCGCCGUGGCCGCCAAGCUGAGGCGGGCCCGAAGGGGCGAGCCGGGGCCCUUGCCCGUCUUCCCGCAGUCGGCCGCCGACAGCAGCGCCGGCUCCCUGCCCCGCAGCUACGUCUACGACGUGCGCCUCGCCGCCCGGCACCGUCAACAGCGAGUUCCGCUUCCUCGGGCCGCUCUUCCCCUGCUUCCCCGCCGGGCUGCCGCCGGGCUCGGCCGAGCAGCGGAGCUCGCUCUGCUCGGGCCGGCCUCGGGCAAGAAGAAGGAGACUGGGCUGUGCAGGGCCGAGCUCCCCUCUCUGAAGGCACAGCUCCUGGGGCAGCGGAGGAGAAUGCCAGUUUGGAUCAAAGCCCCUGGCUCAGCCACCAGUAAGGGAGGAGAAGGAGAAGCAUCUUGGUCCUCAUGAACAGAUAACUUUCAAGUGAGAUGAAAGAGAGACCCAACAUGCCCCAUAUAAGUGACUGGGCUGUGCCAGAGUUUUCUGUGGGUGGAAGGAUUCCUACCUCUUAAUCAACACUUUAUUCUUGUGUUUCUUUUGGAUUUGUGUUAAGUUUGGAGAUGGGUGCAUGCUGGGAACGCUGAGAUUUGGUAUCUAACUGUGAUAGUGCUAUUGCUCCUAUGUACCAAGUGAAGAAUUGGAUGAAAAUAUUCUGAUGCUCUAGCUUUCAUUUUCCUGCAUCUGCUUUUAUGCUUUCUUUUUGGUUGUCUGGUGGGCUCUGUAAUAAUGCAAUCUAUUCAAUACCAGGCCGUGUAGUUGUUCAUCAAAGCUGAAUGUUGCCAGAAAAGAUAUUGUUUGGUAACAUUGAGAUGCUGUGUAAUGUAGAGAUGGCUGACAUUGACACAGUGCACGCUCAACCAGGAGUUCCCUUGUUCUGCAUGCUGUGAAUAGUCCUCUUUGGGCACUGCGUUUCUUUUUUAUUCACUUGGUUCUCUUCCCCAAUGUAAAGUCAAAAUGAAGAGUUCUGUUGCGUUUCAGGGAUAUCAAGUUUAAUACUGGAGGGAAUUCAGUGCUGUGUGAUACUUCUGGUGUUUUGUGUUAUGCUUGUGCUUCCAAGAGUUGAAUUUUGGUUGACAGAGCCCAAUAAAAUCUACUGAAAAUCUACUGAUAGAAUCUUU
ensembl:lncRNA